rnacentral:piRNA from 1 species
UCCCAUUGCUCAUAUGCCAUGACACCCGUGU